AUCUGGUGCAGGAAAGACUGUCAACACUCAGCGUGUCAGCCAAUACUGCGACAGUCGCAGUGUCUGGAGCUAAGCAGGCCGAGCCAGUUCCUGGAAAAAUGCAGGGUAAAUUCAUCAGAAUCCACUUUGGAUCAACAGGAAAGCUGGCUUCUGCUGAUACUGAAACAUAGCUCCUGGAAAAAUCUCGAGUGACAUUCCAGCUCUCUGCUGAGAGGAGCUACCAUAUCUUUUACCAGCUCACAACGGGUCAAUAAAUCUGAUCGAGGCUGAUACCUACCUACCUCAUGGGCCUUAACUCUGCCAAUAGCUGAAGGCUUUCUGUUACCCAGGAGUAAAGGUUGGCAAUGAAAUGGUGGUCAAAGGUCAAACUGUGCCUCAGUUCAACAGCCUGGAACAGCUGUGCAUCAGCUUCACCAAUGAAAAACUGCAACAGUGUUUCAACCAUCACAUGUUUGUCCUGGAGCAAGAAGAGUACAAGAAAGAGGGCACUGAAUGGGAGUUCAUUGACUUUGUCAUGGACUUGGCUGCCUGCAUUGAGCUUAUUGAGAAGCCAAUGGGCAUCUUCUCCAUCCUUGCAUGUUCCCCAAGGUGACAGACAUGACCUUCAAGAACAAACUCUAUGACCAGCAUGUUGGCAAAAGUGCCCCCUUCCAGAAACCAAAGCCUGCCAAAGGCAAAGCUGAGGCCCACUUCUCCCUGGUGCACUAUGCUGGUACUGUUGACUACAAUGUCAUUGGCUGGCUGGAGAAGAACAAAGACCCUCUGAACGACUCUGUGGUACAGCAGAAGUCUUCCACAAAGCUGCUGGCCUUGCUGUUUGCACCUCAUGUGUCUGCAGAAGGUAGCGCUUUUUUAUAUAAACUCCUGUAUCUACAAAAUUUAAGAGAAUCCAUUUACACCAUCCAGUACAACAUCCGUGCAUUCAUGAAUGUCAAAGCCGUGGAUGAAGAUGUACUUUAGAAUAAAGCCAUUUCUCAGGAGUGCAGAGGCAGAGAAAGAGAUGGCACAAAUAAAAGAGGACUUUGAAAAGACCAAGGAGGACCCGGCAAAGGCUCUGGCUAAGAAGAAAGAACUGAAGGAAAAGAUGGUUACUCUCCUACAGGAGAAGAAUGACUUGCGGUUCCAAAUUCAGAGUAAGAGUGAAACCCUCGCUGAUGCAGAGGAAAGGUGUGAGGGGCUCAUUAAAGCAAAAAUCCAGCUCGAGGCCAAACUUAAAGAGACAGCCGAGAGACUGGAGGAUGAGGAGGAAAUGAACGCUGACUGCAAAGAAGAGGAAGCUGGAGGACGAGUGCUCUGAGCUCAAGAAAGACAUUGAUGACUUGGAGCUGACCCUGACCAAAGUGGAAAAGGAGAAACUAAAGUUUCGGGAGCUGGAGGCGGAGGUUUAGGCGGAGCAGAAACGUGGAUCUUUGGCUGUGAACGGUGUCCGCAAGCAUGAACAUAAAGUGAAGGAGCUGACUUAUCAGGCUGAGGAGGACAAGAAGACUAUUACCCGACUUCAAGAUCUUGUGGACAAGCUGCAACUGAAAGUGAAAUCCUACAAGAGGCCGUCUGAGGAAGCUGAGGAGCACUCACCUGGCCAGGUACAGGAAGGUUCAGCAUGAGCUUGAGGAAGCUCAGGAGCGUGCUGACAUUGCAGAGUCGCAGGUCAACAAGCUGAGAGCAAAGAGCCGUGAAAUUGUCAGGGUCAAGGAGACUCAUGAAUGAACCGCAGUCUGGAUGGGACACGGAGUGCUCGAGAGCUCCGGACGCAUUUCUGAAAAUGUGUCAGGAUUUAAAGUGUCAUCUUUCAACAAGGAAAGAAUGCAAACUACUACACGUCGUAUAACACGAUCCUCUCCUUGUCGCAUAUGGGGAACAAAUACUGGACUUAAGAGAAGGUCAAGCUACAAGCCGCUCCUUGUCUUCAGUUCAUCUGUCAGGGCACGCAGCACAACAAGACCAUUUUAAGAAAGGGUUUAAAAAUAAAUCCUCGCCCUCGAGACAACGCAAGUGUUUGCCCUGAGAAACCAAGAGACACAAAUCUAAUCACCUGUUAGCCGGGGAUCAGACGAUGGAAAGUUUAUUGUCCUGAAAACAAAUGCACCGCGACACAUUAGGUAGUACAAUGUCAAGGUCUUCAAAGGCUCGUAGCCGUGGCACGAGAGGAACUAGAAUAGGUGAUGUACUGCUGUCAAAGACGUUCCUUCGCUCAGACACAGACAGUUAACUUGUCAACAGCAGAGGCUCAGUCUUAAGACAAAGCUGUCUGCCUUUAGAAGUUUGACUUUGAGCUGCAGGAUAAAGCGAGAUGAGACGGUUGCAUCUGAACGCCCUGUUGACUCAUUAAGGUGCCAAAAGUCUAGCAAUGCAAUCUGAUAUGGAGAAAAACACAAUCAGUGAAAGUGAAGAUGUGACACAAAAUGGUGUGUGUGUGUGCAGUGUCCUCAAACACACUGCAAGCAAUCCCCUGUAAACCUGUACAUAUAUACCAGUUCGUCCCCUUGGUAACUUCCAUUCAUGUCUGGUUCUAGUGUGUUUUUCCCUGUUUUUAAAAUGAAACCAUUAGAAAGAAGCAGUCAGGGCAGAGAAACAGAGUGUGGGGCUUUUUAGCAUUUAUUGAUGAGGAAAACCUCAGCGCAGAUUCAGUACCAGGCCACUGCAUUAGCCUCAUGGCCUGUGAGUUAACAAGCACCCCAACAGAUUAUGAAUCACAUACCUGUUGCACAGUGAUAUAAUUCGUCGGUGUAGUUUGGUAGAAGGAAAAUAGUUCCUUGAUGCAACUGCUGACAACAUGUUGAAAAGCGAGCAGCAGACAUAUCUUCUUUCUUUUUGAUGCUGCUCCACUCAUGACAUGAGAUUUCAUGUCAGUCUCUAGAAAGCUCAAGCCCACUGACACAUCUCUCAUCAGAUUAUCAUACCUAGAGUAAUCAUAACUACACAAAAUAUUACAUCUGAGCCUCUACAAAACAAAAUAUUGGGCACUGGGUAGCUUCAUGAGUGUGCUGUGACCCUUAAGUAUUGGUUAGAAAUGUUGAAGCUAAGCCUCAGAGUGCGUUAAAGGUCUAUCAGUAGGGAAUUAGUAGAAACCUGACACUGUUUCCCCUCCUUAAAAGUCCCAUUAAGUGACACACAGCUUUCUGGUCUGAUGUCCAGAGAGUAUAAAUGUCACAGCAACUGGUUUUGACCUUUAAUUAAAUAUGAUCAAAUAAAUGCUUGCUGUUCUAAUUAUUAAUUACUGAAUCUUACUCUUAAGUGUGGUGCCACACAUUUACCCAUUUGCUUAGCAAGCAAAAGGUUACUGGUUUAAUUCCAGCUGGUGACACACGUCCUCUGGGAUUGAGUCUACAAAGGACAUUUGGUAUAACAAUCAAACACGUUACCUGCUGUGGUGACAAGGGAGCAGCUGAAAGUAGUGUUAAUUUUGAAUUGCACUGUUAUUAUUGUUUUUUAUGUGAAUGUGUUGAGACUUUCAGGCAUUUAAAUUUGACCCACAGAUGACAUUAAUCCAUCACUAUGUGAUACCUGUCUAUGCUUUCAUUUCCUCCUGCUUACAUUAUUGUAAAGCGCUGUUUUCUUGUCCAACUAAAGCGUUUAUUAACCGCCUCCAAUCAAACCAAAAGGCUGCUGUAAGGCUUCUAACUCACACUUAUACGUAAGUCUUCACAUAUCACCCCGUUUUUAAAGCUUUUCCAUUGGCUUCCUUGGUUCCUUUUAUGGCCUUACAGGGUAAGGCACCCCCAGCUACAUUAUUGAACCGCUCCGCCCCUAUUCUCCAGGCCCUCUUGUGAUUCUGUAUGCUGAAAGCUAAGGGUGAUUGCACUUUCAAACCUUAGCUGUACAAUUAUAGAACAGCUUAGCGAUCUCUCUUCAUACACUCUGUGGCAUCCUUGUAACUGUGGCUUGAAACCUGUUUGUGUUUUUGUGUUGUUUUACUCAAUUCAUGUGUGACCACUAUGUCUUUAACAUGUGAUGGGGUUUUUUUUAAAGCACUUUGUGGCUGUUCUAAGUCUUGAAAAGUGUUAGAAAAUCAAACUUUACUCACUUACUAUUUACAACAAAUGACACAGGCUGCUGUCAUUUUAGUGGUUUAGUCACAUUUAUUUCCAAAGAACAGUUUAAUACACUCACACAAAAAAACACUCAUAGAAAUGUAAAAAAGCCUUGAAAUAGAAAGCAGGGAAAAUAAAUCAAAGUGAAGUGAAGUGAGCUAUUUGUACAGAAAUAGUGGGACACACACCCCCAAUCACCUGUGACCUGUGCCUUGCUGCAGUAUUGCCAACCCAGCAAAUUUGGAGCGCCUAAAAUAAAUUUCAGUCCAAAGACAUUGCUGAAAUUCUUUGGGAUCAUGUGCUAUUAGUCUCAUUAAUCUCAUUAGUCUAAAAAUACAGCUGUCAUGUCUUUGUCUUCAUUGAAAUGAUCAACAGUUGAUAAAGUAAAAUUUAUAAUCUUUUCCCAAAUGAAUGAAAUUGUCCUCCGCUCUUUAAAAUAAGAGAAUAUAACGAAAAACAUGAUACGUGAUAAAGCUUUCAUAGCACACAAUAAUAAAGUUGUGAGCAGAUAUAAUUACCUUUUUAUUUGUCAGCAUAUCUAAAUGUUCUUUUCUCAUUUAUUAUCCGUCCACUAGCAUGUGCCCACAGUGGCUGAAUUUUUUAGUAAAUGUAUAUAUACUUAAUUAAAAUCAUAUAUAUAUGUCUAAGUACACAAUAUCUGUCAUAACCCAUUUGUUCAAUAUUAAAUACUGCUUAUGAACAUUAUAUGUGGGGCGUUAAAGUGUAAUUUCAUCACAUUAACUGAGUUCCUUCGCCAAGAUAUUCACCCUUAGCUUGUUAUAAUGGGAUAAUGAGAUACUCUGGCCAGCAGCAUUAUCAUGCAGAGAGUAUUAGUGAACUUUUCGAGGCAUAAAACUGCUCGCAGAGGCUUGUUUUGAGGGUGAGUUCUGAUUAUAGCGCAUGACAUAUUCCGUGAUUGGCAUUUGUAUUGAUCAAACUUCAAAGCAACAACUUCAAAGCAACAUUUGUUCGACAUGUGUUUACUGGAUACAUUCAGCAUUUCUGGGACAGAAAUUAAAGUGCUAUAAAUAUGAA